AUUGAACGCUGGCGGCAGGCCUAACACAUGCAAGUCGAGCGGAUGAAGAGAGCUUGCCCUCUGAUUCAGCGGCGGACGGGUGAGUAAUGCCUAGGAAUCUGCCUGGUAGUGGGGGACGACGUUUCGAAAGGAACGCUAAUACCGCAUACGUCCUACGGGAGAAAGCAGGGGACCUUCGGGCCUUGCGCUAUCAGAUGAGCCUAGGUCGGAUUAGCUAGUAGGUGAGGUAAAGGCUCACCUAGGCGACGAUCCGUAACUGGUCUGAGAGGAUGAUCAGUCACACUGGAACUGAGACACGGUCCAGACUCCUACGGGAGGCAGCAGUGGGGAAUAUUGGACAAUGGGCGAAAGCCUGAUCCAGCCAUGCCGCGUGUGUGAAGAAGGUCUUCGGAUUGUAAAGCACUUUAAGUUGGGAGGAAGGGCAGUAAGUUAAUACCUUGCUGUUUUGACGUUACCAACAGAAUAAGCACCGGCUAACUUCGUGCCAGCCGCCGCCGUAACAC
rnacentral:rRNA from 1 species